rnacentral:Y_RNA from 1 species
GACUAGCCUAAGUACAGUGAUGUUUACAACUAAUUGACCACAAACAGUUACAGAUUUCUUAGUUCCUUUUCUACUUCCAUUGCUUCACUUGACUAGCCUUAG